rnacentral:rRNA from 1 species
AUGGAAAAAUUCGAAGGGUAUUCAGAAAAACAUAAAUCUCGUCAACAAUACUUUGUCUACCCACUUCUCUUUCAGGAAUAUAUUUAUGCAUUUGCCCACCAUUAUGGAUUAAAUGGUUCUGAACCUGUGGAAAUAGUUGUUAGUUGUAAUAACAAGAAAUUUAGUUCACUACUUGUGAAACGUUUAAUUAUUCGAAUGUAUCAGCAGAAUUUUUUGGAUAACUCGGGAAAUCAUCCUAACCAAGAUCGAUUAUUGGAUUACAAAAAUUAUUUUUAUUCUGAGUUUUAUUCUCAGAUUCUAUCUGAAGGGUUUGCGAUCGUUGUGGAAAUCCCAUUCUCGCUACGGGAAUUAUUUUGUCUGAAAGAAAAAGAAAUACCAAAGUUUCAGAAUUUACGCUCUAUUCAUUCAAUAUUUCCCUUUUUAGAAGACAAAUUUUUGCAUUUGGAUUAUCUAUCACAUAUAGAAAUACCCUAUCCUAUCCAUUUGGAAAUCCUGGUUCAACUCCUUCAAUACCGUAUCCAAGAUGUUCCAUCUUUGCAUUUAUUGCGAUUCUUUCUCAACUAUUAUUCGAAUUGGAAUAGUUUUAUUACUUCAAUGAAAUCCAUUUUUUAUUUUCAAAAAGAAAAUAAAAGACUAUUUCGAUUCCUAUAUAACUCUUAUGUAUCAGAAUAUGAAUUUUUGUUGUUGUUUCUUCGUAAACAAUCUUCUUGCUUACCAUUAGCAUCUUCUCGAACUUUUCUGGAAUGA